rnacentral:rRNA from 1 species
UACGUAGGGGGCAAGCGUUUUCCGGAUUUAUUGGGCGUAAAGAGCGUGUAGGCGGCCUUACAGGUCAGCUGUGAAAACUCGAGGCUCAACCUCGAGACGUCGGUUGAAACCGUAAGGCUAGAGUCCGGAAGAGGAGAGUGGAAUUCCCGGUGUAGCGGUGAAAUGCGCAGAUAUCGGGAAGAACACCCGUGGCGAAGGCGGCUCUCUGGGACGGUACUGACGCUGAGACGCGAAAGCGUGGGGAGCGAACAGG